GGUGGCUUCUCUCCCUUAGGUGGUUUGCCAACUGGGGUUGGUGGCUUGUAUGAGUCUUCAGCAUUCUCAGCAGGAGGGUGACCAGGGUUGUGACCAUAAUGUGGUGGCUUCUCUCCCUUAGGUGGUUUGCCAACUGGGGUUGGUGGCUUGUGUUCUGGGAGUGGCUUCUCCCCCUUGGGAGGUUUUUCCAAUGGGGUUGGUUUGUGUUCAGGAGGUGGCUUCUCCACUGGAGGCUUGUGUUCAGGAGGUGGCUUCUCCACCGGUGGCUUGUGUUCAGGAGGUGGCUUCUCCACCGGAGGCUUAUGCUCUGGUGGUGGCUUCUCCACCGGAGGCUUAUGCUCUGGUGGUGGCUUCUUGAAUGGGGGAUGCUGAGGGUAAUCAGCAAGUGAGGGGGCGGUGAGAACCACCAGGCCAAGCAACACCACUAGCAAAUAUGUAGGAGACAUCUUUGGGUUUGGGCUCAGAUGGUGCAAAACUAGGAGAAUUGGCUAGCCUUUUAUAGCGGAUCGUACUCAAUAAUGAAAUGACACGUGUCAUUAUGACCCAUGUGUAAUGGGGUCGAUUUGGGUCCUACAGUGUUGAAAACUUCGACAUCCAGUUUUGGCCUUUUGCUUUCUCUACAGCCGCCUUGCUUUUUCCCUCUUUCCUUUUGUUUUCCUCCUGCCCCAUUCUAUCAACUAAACACAAUUAUGUAGUUGUUUAAUUCUUAAAUGAGAUAUUAUCGGUCAAUCGUAUUAUAUUUUAUCAAGAGAGAACGGAGUGCAAUGCAGCUGUAAUUUUAUCGUUUACUUUUAUCUCUUGGACCACUGCAUUUUUGUUAAGAGGUGCAAUAAUACACGUCUUUAUCUGCCAUUCAAUGUUUACAGUAAAGAGAGGGCACAAAACUCUUCACUGCUCUGCAUGUGUCCCAAAAAUGCGAUUGGACAAAUUAUGAUUUGCAUGCUAAAAAGAGGCAAAUGAGGUUAAUUCGCACCAUAAUUAUUUGGUUUUCUGGACACCAUAAAAAGAUGUUAUACAGGCAGGGAAAAACCUUCAGAGUUAGCUACCAAAGAUAAUUAUCAAGCAGAUAUCACCAAGAGAAUUCCAUAGAGUCUGAAUCAAAGACAGAUUGCUCGCUCGUGGGGGUUCUUACUUUCUUUUGGGUAUAACUCACUGAGGUCACUGUCUUUUUUAUUUGCAUUUCACAGUUAGAGUUCUGCUCUGGAAGGUUUGUUCUGGAAACAUAUAAAAGGAGCAUCAUUUUGUUCUUGGGUAACCCAUAGUCGUGAGUGGGUCCAUUUGCAUGCUACUUAGUUGAAAAGUUGGACAAUUUGCUCCGACGCCUACCUCCUGGAUUCCAUGCUCGGUAAAACAAGAAUAAAAAAAAAUAUAUAAUUUACAAAUGGGGGAAAGAAAAAAUGUCGGAAAAAAUAGUAAAAUUCAUGUCACAUGCUAGUGAGAGAAGGGGUUGUUACACUCACUCGAAGUUCUUUUCAAAAUAUCGAAUGGUAUUUUACUUUAUGUGUCAGCGCAGUUGUGAAUGGAACGUGCAAAAGUCCAAAUUGGCGUUUUUAUUUUUCCCAUGUAGGAUGGUGACCUUUAAUAAAUAUUUAAAACAAAAGACGAAAAAAAAAAGGAGGGAAAAGGGAUCACAAAAGAUAAAAUAAUGUUUACAAAAGCUCAAUUAGUUUGCAAAUUACUGUUUGGAUUUUGAUAGUAUUUUAUUUGUCGUUCUAUAUUUGAUGUAAAAGAGAAUUUAAGAUAUUUCCGAAGCAAAAGCAUUAGUUUGCUCUGUGAUGUCCCACAUCGAAUAGGGGAGAAAGUUUCUGGCGCUAUAUAUGUAGAGGCUCCUCUUAACCAAGUAGAUGCGUUUUAAAACCAUGAGGGCCCCCUUAGGUCCAAAGCGGACAAUAUCUACAUGAUUGGGUGUAAGUCAUUACAAAUGGUAUCAGAGCCGAUCCCCGACCCCGGUGUGGGGGUUUGUUUGGCCCUGUAAGGGGUGUUUGUCUGUUUGACCCCACAAUCCCAUGGGACACAACGAGGACGUUGUGUCUGCAUGGGGGGGCGUUUGUGAUGUCCCACAUCGGAUAGGGGAGAAAGUUCCUAGUGCUAUAUAUGUAGAUGUUUCUCUUAACCAAGUAGAUGCAUUUUAAAAUUGUGAGGGCCUCUUUGGGCCCAAAGCGGACAAUAUCUACAUGGUUGAGUGUAAGUCAUUACAUGCUCCAUGUCAAUUUCAGCAUUUCUCAUAUGUUUCACACAUACACAGAAGAGCAUCGUUUUUUAAAGCAUGCAUUUAUGUUGGAUUAAUUUGGAUUUUGUGGGAACUGGGGCAAGGAUCACAUGGAAGAGAGGUUGACUUUUUUCAGUACUUCAAUGGUUGAAAUAUGUGAAGGCUUGAUUGAUACUAAAGCUUGAAAUUGCGACUCUGUCAUUUGUAAAAAAAUAUGACAGCUUCCAUGCUCUCGUUUGGUUGCAUUGUCCGGUCGAGAGGUGCAAAAAGCAUUCUCUCUCUUCUAAUAGUCUUUUCGUUUAAAUCAAGGGAUUUGCCUUCCCGGUCGAGGUCCAAUAGAGGGUAACGGUCACCUACUAAACAUUAAAUGCUCCAACAACUAGUGAACUGAUCGACCCCAGCUCGACUAGUUGAGGUUACUUUUUGGUUUUCUUGUCUCCCGAGGUUAGAAACCUAUAAAUAGAGAGCUUCACUUCAUUUAUGAGUAAGAGAACACCUAAAUUUAUUUGUUUACCUACUUGUUUUUGCCAUAAAAGCUCUCAUUUCUUUUCUUGGUGUAUUAAAUCUCCAUUUGCAUAUCCUUUAGUGCACCUUUGUGAUUCAUUCUAGCCUUGAGUUGUAUUUAAGCCUUUGUUGAGCUAGGUUGAGAGUUUCAUACUUGUUUAUUGAGUGUUAAAGCCUUCAAGUGAGUUAAAACUUGAAGAGAUUGUGUAAGAGCCCAUUGGAGUCGGAAUCCAAGUGUAAAGGUGAUUAAAAGCUUGGUUGAAGCUUCAAGUUAGUGGAACUCUCACUCGGUUAUGAGCUUGAGAAGAGUGGACAUAGACAAGGCAGUGUCGAACCACUAUAAAAUCUGAGUUUGAUUUCUCUAACCUUAUCUCUUUAUAUUUGCUUCUCUUGUGCUUAAAUUUUUUGUGUUUAAAAAGAAUUUUUAAAAACUCAAUUCACCCCCUUCUUGGGAGUUUUUCUCUUUUAAGAUCAGCUUUUAUUUUCUCAAUUGGUAUCAGAACUAUGCCUCUUGUUUAAGACUUAAUCGUCUAAGAGGAAAUGGCUAAUCCAUCAAGUUCAUCUCACAUUGAAAGUUUUGCAACCAAUAGACUUCUUUUUUUUUUUUUGCGGGAACUGAUUAUCCCUAUUGGAAAACUAAAAUGACUUGGUUUUUACAAUCAAUUGAUUUAGAUGUAUGAGAUGCCAUUGAAGAUGACCUAACUUUUCCUUCAAAACUAGUUGAUGGAGUCAUGGUUCCAAAACCUAAGCAAGAAUGGGAUGAGCGUGAUUGAAGAAAUUUUCAAUUAAAUGCUAAAGUCGUUUAUACUUUGCAAUGCUCUAUGGACAGAAAUGAAUAUAAUAGAAUAUGUCAAUGCAAAUCGGUUAAAGAAAUUUGGAGAUUGCUUGAAAUAACUCAUAAAGGAACAAAUCAAGUUAAAGAGUCAAAAAUCAAUUUACUUGUUCAUAGAUAUGAAUUGUUUUUUAUGAAAGAUAAUGAAACUAUUGUUAAGAUGAUCACUAGGUUCACCAACAUUGUUAAUGGUCUUAAAGCCUUGGGAAAGACCUACAAGGAAUCCGAAAACGUGAUGAAGAUCUUGAGGUCACUUCCAUCAAAGUGGCAUACCAAGGUCACCGCAAUUUAAGAAGCAAAAGACUUGAUCAAGCUACCUUUGGAGGAGUUCAUAGGGUCAUUGAUGACAUAUGAAAUCAAUUUGGCAAAGAAGUAACAAAAAGGUGAAGACAAAAAGAAGAAGAACAUAACUCUCAAAGCUACAACUAAGGAAGAAGAAGUUGAAGAAGAAAAACAAAUUGAAGAAGAUGAAGAUUUAGCCCUCAUCACAAGAAAGUUCAACAAAUUCAUGAGGGGUGAAAGGUUUAGAAGAAGAAGGUUCACUUCUAGAAGAGACUUUUCUAAAAAGGAAUCUUCAUCUAAUGGUGACAAAAAGAGAUGGGAAGAGAAAAGAGACUUGGUGUGUUUCAAGUGCAAGAAACCGGGACACAUUAAAUAUGAUUGUCCUCUCUACAAAAGUGAAGUCAAGAGGAAAAAGAAUAAGGCAAUGAUGGCCACUUAGAGUGAAAGUGAAGAUGAAUCAUCCGAAGAAGAAAAUGAGAAAGAAGUGGCAAACAUGUGUUUCAUGGCAAUAGAUGAACUUGAUGAGGUAAAAUCUAACCUUAGUGAUUAAGAUAUACAUGAUGCAUUUGAAGAAUUGUAUGAGGAUUUUUAAAAACUUAGUUUGAAAAAUAUUUCUCUUAAAAAGAAAGUUCAACAACUUGACAAAGAACUUAGAGAAGUAAAAGAAAAAUUUUCAAAUGUUAAAGUUUCUAAAACUCAUCUUGAAAAAGAAAAUGAGAUUCUAAGAAAGAAAAAUGAAUAGUUGAACUCCUCUCUUUCAAUCUUUUCUUCUAGACAAAAAUCUUUUGAAAUGAUUCUAACUAGCUAAAAAUGUGUUUUUGACAAACAAGGGUUAAGAUUUAAAUCUUCAAAAAAUCAAAAGUAUUUUAAAAACUAUUUUGUAAAGGAAUCCACAAGUGCAAGUCCUUCCACUACUUGCAACUUUUGUGGAAGAGAAUGGCACAUUAGUAGUACGCCCUUUAAGAAAUGGUUCUCAAAAGAAUUUAAAUGCAAAAACUAAAAAAGAUUUGGAUUGAGAAAUCCAAGGUCACUAACCCUCAAGGACCCAAAAAGAUAUAGGUACCUAAAUCAACUUGAGUUUUAUGUUGUAAGGUUCAAAGAAUGAUAAGUGGUUCUUAGAUAAUGGUUGCUCAAGACACAUGACCGGAGAUGAAUCCAAGUUUGCUUUUCUUAAAAAGAAAAAUGGAGGAUAUGUUACCUUUGGAGACAAUGCAAAAGAAAGGAUGAUUGGUCAAGGCAACAUUGGUAAUGGCACAUCCUCUCUCAUUGAAAGUGUUUUAUUAGUAGAUGGUUUCAAACAUAACCUUUUAAGCAUUAGUCAAUUUUGCGACAAAGGUUUUUAAGUGAUUUUUUAAGCAUCUCAUUGCAUCAUCAAGGAUAUUCAAAAUGAUAAAACCAUUUUCAUGGGCCAUAGAUGUGAUAAUGUUUAUGCUAUAAAUAUUUCAAAAUAUGAUGGCCAUGAUAGAUGUUUUUCAAGCAUGCAUGAUCAAAGUUGGUUGUGCCAUAGGAGAUUGAGACAUGCUAACAUAGACCUCAUUUCCCAACUCAACAAAGAUGAACUUGUUAGAGGCCUUCCCAAAAUAAUUUUUUAAAAAGAUAAAGUUUGUGAAGCUUGUCAAGUGGGAAAGUAAAUCAAAAACUCUUUUAAAAACAAAAACUUCAUUUCCACAUCUAGGCCACUUGAGUUGUUGCAUAUGGAUUUAUUUGGUCCCUCUAGGACACCAAGUCUUAGAGGAAAUUCUUAUGCAUAUGCUAUUGUGGACGACUUCUCUAGAUACACAUGAGUCUUGUUUUUUAGUCAAAAGAAUAAAGUUUUUUAUGAGUUUUCAAAGUUUUGCAAUAAGAUUCAAAAUGAAAAAGGUUUUUCAAUUACUUAUAUAAGAAGUGAUCAUGGGAGAGAAUUCGAAAAUAUUGAUUUUGAAGAGUAUUGCAAUGAGCAUGGAAUUGACCACAAUUUUUUGGCUCUUAGAACUCCUCAACAAAAUGGGGUAGUUGAAAGGAAAAAUAGAACUCUUCAAAAAAUGACAAGAACCAUACUAAAUGAAAACAACUUACCAAAAUAUUUUUAGGCCAAAACGGUUAACACUUCUUGUUAUGUUUUAAAUAGAGUAUUAUUGAGGCUCAUACUUAAGAAAACUCCCUAUGAGCUUUGGAAAAACAAAAAACCCAACAUUAGUUAUUCCAAAGUCUUUGGAUGCAAUAUUUUAUAAUAAACACCAAAGACAAUCUUGGAAAAUUUGAUGCAAAAUUGGAUGUUGGAAUUUUCCUUGGUUACUCAACUUCAAGUAAAGCUUUUCGAGUUUUAACAAAAGAACCAUGGUUGUAGAGGAGUCCAUCCAUGUUAUUUUUUAUGAAUCUCCAAGAAAGAGAGAGGAUUGAUGAUGAUUUAGGUUUGAAGACCUCUAUAGGAAGAUUGCAAAUCGAAGAUAGAAGACAACAAGAAGAAAAUGGAGAGAAUCCAAAGAAAGAAGGAUCACCAUUGGCACUACCCCCUCAUCAACAAGCGCAAGGUGAAUCAAGUCAAGAGCUUCCUAAAGAAUGGAAGUUUGUCAUCAAUCACCCACAAGAUCAAAUUAUAGGCAAUCCAUCUAGUGGGGUAAGAACUAGAUCCUCUCUUAGAAAUAUUUGCAAUAAUCUAGCUUUUAUCUCUCAAAUUGAGCCUAAAAAUAUAAAUGAUGUUUUAGAUGAUGAAAAUUGGAUAAUUGCAAUGCAAGAAGAGUUAAAUCCAUUUGAAAGAAGUGGAGUAUGGGAAUUAGUACCAAGACCUUCAAAUCAAAGUGUUAUUGGAACUAGAUGGAUCUUUAGAAAUAAAAUGGAUGAAAAUAGCAUAAUUGUUAGAAAUAAAGCAAGAUUGGUAGCCCAAGGUUUUAAUCAAGAAGAAAUGAUAGAUUAUGAAGAAACCUUUGCCCCCGUAGCUAGGUUGGAAGCCAUUAGGAUGCUACUUGCCUUUGCAUGUUUUAAAGACUUUGUUUUAUAUCAAAUGGAUGUGAAAAGUGCUUUUUUAAAUGGUUUUAUAAAUGAAGAAGUAUAUGUUGAACAACCACCCGGUUUUCAAAGUUUCAACUUUCCUAACCAUGUUUUUAAACUUAAAAAGACACUUUAUGGUUUGAAACAAGCACCUAGAUCAUGGUAUGAAAAAUUGAGUAAAUUUCUUUUGAAAAAAAUGUUUUAAAAUGGGAAAAAUUGACACAACUCUUUUUAUAAAAACCAAAGAAAAUGAUAUGCUCUUAGUUCAAAUAUAUAUUGAUGAUAUCAUUUUUGGUGCUACUAAUGUCUCUCUUUAUGAAGAAUUUUCUAAGUGCAUGCAUAGUGAGUUUGAAAUGAGCAUGAUAGGAGAACUCAACUUCUUCCUUGGACUUCAAAUCAAGCAACUAAAGGAAUGAACCUUCAUCAAUCAAGCAAAGUAUAUAAGAGAUCUUCUCAAAAGGUUCAACAUGGAAGAAGCCAAAACAAUGAAGACUCUAAUGAGCUCAUCCAUUAAGCUUGAUAAGGAUGAGAAAGGUAAAUCCAUUGACUCUAUUAUGUAUAGAGGCAUGAUAGGUUCUUUGCUCUAUUUGACCACUAGUAGACCUUACAUUAUGUAUAGUGUGUGUUUGUGUACUAGAUUUCAAUCUUGUCUUAAAAAAUCUCACUUAAGUGUCGUGAAAAGAAUCCUCAAAUAUUUGAAAGGGACAAUGGACAUAGGCUUAUGGUAUCCUAAGAGUGAUAACUUUGAAUUAAUUGGUUUUUUGGAUGCUGAUUUUGUCAGUUGUAGGGUUGAAAAAUAAAACACUAGUGGCACUUUUCAUUUCUUAAGACACUUACUUGUCUCAUGGCAUAAUAAGAAGCAAAAUUUGGUAGCUUUGUCAACAGCAGAAGCUAAAUACAUAGCAACUGGUUUAUGUUGUGCACAAAUCCUUUGGAUGAAAUAAACACUUAGUGAUUUUGAUUUAUCUUUUGAGCAUAUUCCUAUUAAAUGUGAUAAUAGUAGUGCCAUAAGUAUAUCAAAAAAUCUCGUGCAACACUCUAGGACUAAGCAUAUAGAGAUUAGACAUAAUUUUCUUAGAUAUCAUACACAAAAGGAUGAUAUAACACUUGAAUUUGUAAGCAUAAAAGACCAACUUGCCGAUAUCUUUACAAAACCUCUAAGAACAUUUUGUUGAUAUUAGAGGACAAUUAGGAGUGAUUUCUUUAUGAUCUAAUGUGAUGAAUUCUUGAUGAAUAUACUUUUUGAUUGCAUGAAUUUCAUGUCAUAUAUGCAUCAUAUAGAAAUAUACUUAGAUAAUGGUCAAAUUUCGACCAAAAAUCAAAAUUCCCAUGGCAUUAGGCAUAAAAAUUUUGGAAUUUCAACUGAAAAUGGUAGGAGGAGGAUCACAAAAUGAGAAAGUAUGCAAAAAUUGAAAAAUCAAAACGUUGACCAAGCGGUCAAUCGGACUAGACCGAUCGACUAGUUUGUCGAGAUUUAGGAUUUUUAAGAGACUCCAACGCUUCAAUUUUUGCACCGUUCUCCUCUAUUUCUUCACGGUUUCUCUGAUUUUGUCUUUUAGAGACUAAUUUGAGUGCGUUUUGGAUCAAUUGAAGCAUUUUGGAUUGGAUUUUAGGAAGAUUGAAAGUUAAGGUUUCGGAUUUGGGUCGCCUUCUCUUCCUCUCGCGUGUCACAAUCAGCUUUAGCAUUGUUCUCUUUCCAUUUUCACACACCUAGGGUUUCAGUUGUGAGCAUCUCUCUCUCUUUACCAACCACUACUCCCUUGCUUCUUCCAUAUGGCUCCUAGGCGAGAGUCCGCUACUUCUAGGGCACAAGGCAAGCACCCAACUGAGUCGUCUCAGUCAAAGGCACGUCGAAAAGUGAGAUUUGACAUUGCCUUGUUCAGUUCCAUGGAGGACUACCAACUAUACAAGCAACACUUUGCUUAGAGACGAGUAGUUCCCAAGAGAAAUAUUAAUUUUCCUCAACUUCAGCAUUUCGAAUUUAAGGGUCUAUUUACUAGGAUGGUUGGUUGUCUAUUGUCACAAUUUCGGAGCCGGUUUUCCUGACCUUAGUGCGAGUUUUUUACUCGAGGGCGACUUAUGGCAUGGGUGGCAUGAUCAUUUCUACUGUUGGAGGAGUUGAGAUCUGUCUGGACCCAGAGAGCAUCUGCCAUAUUUUCGAUAUUGCUCUGGUUGGACUCAAAGUAUACAAGUCCAAAAUGUGGCCCAUUGUGCCAGGAUUUGAGCUUAGAGAGGUCAUUCAGAGGAUUUGUGAACUUCCAGACGCCCAGGAGAUGGGCAAACCAUUGCCACACAGUUUGACGGUCAUCAACAGGGUGCUACACCAUAUAUUGUGCUCUAUCUUUCUACCACGAAGUGGACAUUGAGAUGAGGUCUCUUAUUAUGAGGCAUUCCUUAUUGACUCCAUUCUAACGGAGAGACGAAUUCAUCUACUAUGUCAUCAUUCACUAAGCCUCCUCACAGUGACAUACCACCUCAUCAGGCACCUCUUGCUCCUGACCAUGCUCCAUUGAUGGAUUUAUUUACUCAUAUUAGCUCUCUAGGCACUCGCAUGAAGGAGUUUGUUGUAGUUAGUGAUACAUGGUUCUACUCCAUAGAGGAUCGCAUGGAUCAGUAUCAGACUGGCUUCACGUCACAGUUUGAGUAUCUCCAAUAGAGGAUUGAGCAUAUUGAGGAUCACUUGAGCAUGAGAAGAUGAUGGCUUUUCUAUGCUCUGUGUUUCCACCUCCACCUCGUCAACCUUGAUUUCUUAGAGACCCAUUGUUUUCAUUUUGUAAUGUUGCCAAAAGGGGGAGAUAUUUAGGAUCUAGGACUCUAUAGGAGACUUACAUGCAUAUCAUUUUCAUAUCAUUGUUUGGAUCGUACAUAUUGGAUAGUGAUACUUUUUACUUAUAUAUGAUAUGCCUAUAUGUUUCAUGUCUUACAUUGUUUCUUAUUGCAAAUUAUCUCUAACAUGUCUUGAUUAUCUUUUUUUUAACUUCAUAAAUUUUGAUUGUUAACCCAUGAUUGGUUUGAGGGGAAGAUUCUUCUUCUCCUAGAUAACCAAGGUUUGUCAUCAUAAAAAAAUUGGAGAUUGUUAGCCCAAGGGUUCUCCUAAUCAUGUUUUGAUGAUAACAAACCAUGCUUAAGUUACUAAUUGGUUUGAAUUAUAAAGAAUUUCAAGUGUUAAUUUGAAAAUUCAUCAAAGAACCUAAUGGAUGCAAGAUCAAGAUUUUUGGAAGACCUUUAAUCAUAAGAAACAUAUGUAAGAUGAAUGCAUGGGUGCACUUAAGAUUUGCAUAUCAUUUCAUGCAUAUUUGGAAAACACGGUUUAUGCUUUAAAGUUACAUUUCCAUCAAAAUUUGAGAUCCAUCAAAUGAACCUUAGGAAAAAUGUUUUAAAAUUGGCAUAUAAUUUUACCUAAAGACCUUGCCUAAGUGUUAGAAGCAAAAGGACAAAAAAAAUAUAGGUUUUCUGGUCAAAAAUGGUGAACCAGUCAAGGCAUUGUCUAAAUCAGCUCAAUCGGCCAAGGUACCGGUCGAUCGGUUUCCCUUUCCCUGUCGAGAUCUAGUCAAGAGGUACAAAAAUCACAAUCUCUGUCUCUUUCUCUCUUUGUCUAUCUUCCAGUAGUCUUUCCUUCCCGGUCGAGGGAUUUGCCUUCCCGAUUGAGGUCCGAUUGAGAGUAAUAGUCACUUGCCAAAUAUUAAAUGCUCCAACAGUUAGUGAACUGGUCGACCCCCACCUUGCCCAGUUGAGGUUACUUUUUGGUUUUCUUGGCUCCCGAUGUUAGAAACCUAUAAAUAGAGAGUUCCACUUCAUUUAUGAGCAAGAGAACACUUGCAUUUAUUUGUUUACCUACUUGUUCUUGCCUUAAAAGCUCUCAUUUCUUUUCUUGGUGCAUUAAAUCUCCAUUUUGAUAUCCUUUAGUGCACCUUUGUGAUUCAUCUUAGCCUUGAGUUGUAUUUGAGCCCUUUUUUUAGCUAGGUUGAGAGUUUCAUACUUGUUAAUUGAGUGUUAAAGCCUUCAAGUGAGUUGAAACUUGUAGAGAUUAUGUGAGAGUCGAUUGGAGCCGAAAUCCAAGUGUAAAGGUGAUUAGAAGCUUGGUUGAAGCUUCAAGUUAGUGGAAUCCUCACUCAAUUAGGAGCUUGAGGAGAGUGGACGUAGCCAAGGAAGUGUCGAACCACUAUAAAAUUUGAGUUUGAUUUCUCUAACAUUGUCUCUUUAUAUUUGUUUAUCUUGUGCUUAAAUUUAUUGUGUUUAAAAAGAAUUUUUAAAUACCCAAUUCACCCCCCUCUUGGGUGUUUUUCUCUUUUAAAAUUAGCCUUUAUUUUCUCACAAACUAUUGUAGUAUAGUGGUUUUUAGGUGUCAUCCAUUAGGAUGAAUUGUUCUCGGUAAUUAAGGCGUGAAUGAGAGGAGAAUUAAUGAUUGUGAUUAAGUAAAAUUGAUUUGAAAAUUCAUGGUGAAAAAUCAAUUUAACAAUGGUUUCUAAUUGAGAAAAACAAUGAAAUGUGAAAUAAAAUAAAAUUAAUAGGAAAUGAAAUUCUCGAAGUUAGAAUUUUCUAAAAAACAAAUUCCAUGGUGAAUGGAUGUUGAGAUCUAAUUUUCAUCAAGUUAGAUUGAAAACCGAAAUUUUCAUAUAAACUGAUUUUUUAUUUAGUUUUAGGUCUAGAUUUAAUUUCCCUUAAAAUUAGGUUAUUUAAUCCAAGAAAUCAAUUCAAAUCAUAUAUUCAAUUCAUCUUAAAUUAUCUUCCAAUUAUUCACACAAUGCAACUAUUCAAUCUCAUCAAAUCUAGCUUUUAAGAAUUUAAUGAAUCUACCUAGUUUGCAUUGUAAUAGUCAUCCAUGACAAUUUGAAGAGAAAAAUAAUUCAAUUAAUCAAUCACUUGGAUCAAAUUACCUUUGCAAUUAAAGUUCAUUUCUCUAAUUCACCACAGAUUUUGUCUCUAGAUCCUCCUUUCUCAAAGAAAAAUGAGAUUUAGCCACACAUGAUUGGAGAUUUGGUCUCAUAAGGCAUGUUUAGCUAGUGAUAAAAUGAGAGAAAAUAAAGAAAAAUAGAGAAUUCGAUUAAGAAAGAAAAUCUAAAAAAUUCUACAAUUAGAAAUGUCCAAAAAGCUUUUUCAUGAGAAAAUCAAGUUUCUAUUUAUAGGCCAAGGUCAAGUGGACACUUGACAUCAUCUAAGAGGUCUUCCGGAAGCUUCUUCAUCAAGAAAUCUGGAGUUUAAUAAUAAAAUGGUCAUUUCACAAGAGCUCAAACAAUUUCGCAUGAUUAUGUGAAAUAAAAAAUGCAACAACAGCAAUUUACAUCUUCUUGGAGCAUUUCGCAUGACUGUGUGAAAUUUUCACAUGAUCAUGUGGAAUCGACUUGACAACUCUCAUUUAGCCUACAACAUAAUUCCACCUUUUGGUCCAUUUUUCAUAGUCAUGCGAAAUGGAAAUAUUUGAUUUUUAAGUUUUCUUUUGUCAUUUCUUUCAUUUCCUUCUCUUGAUUCCACUUCAACUACCUCCGAAUCCUGGUCCAAACCAAUUGCAUUACUUCUUUCAUUAUGCAUUUGGAUCAUCAUCAACAUUAUUUGUUCUCUUCAAUUUGAUUCAUCUCUUUUGUCACCAAUUUAUCAAAAUCAUACCUUGAAAUGACUCCAAAACUUCAUAAAACUUGUUAGUAACUCUUGCAAGGGCAACAACAUAUUAAUUAAGUGUUUUAGGCAUAGUUACUACUCAAAAGAUGCGAAACUCAUGAUAAUUAUUAUAUAAAAUAUGCUCUUUUUGAGUAGUAAUCAACUUUCUUGCAUAAGCAGACCUUUUAGGGUGGAGUACUAAAGACCAAUAUGCUUGUCCUUGUUGUAAUAAAGAAACUUGCUCUUAUUGAUUGCACCAUGGGAGAAAAUUUUGCUACAUGAGUUAUCAUCAAUUUCUUCCCACCAAUCAUAGAUUUAGACGUGACAAGAGGCCUCUUAAUGGCAAGGAGGAACUGACACUCACACUUAUACAAUUAUCGGGCAUUGAUGUGUUGCAACAAUUAGAAUAACUUACACCAAUUAUGUUGGGGAAGUCACAAAAGGCAAACAUGAAAACUAAAAGGAAAAAAGAAAAAUGUUACAUAUCACCACAACUGGAAAGAAAAAAGUAUUUACUUUCAUUUGCCAUAUUGGAAAGCACUUAUUUUACAUCAUAAUAAUUUAGACAUAAUGCAUAUUGAGAAAAAUGUGUGACAAUAUAAUUGAGACAUUGUUCAGUAUUGACGAAGAAACAAGGACAACCUAAAUAGUCAUCUCGAUUUACAAGCUCUAACUAUUAGAAAUGAGAUUCACCCAAUAGAAAGCAGGACCAAAUUUAUUUUGCUUGCAACAUGCUACUCACUCACCCCAAAUGAGAUUAAGGAAUUUUGCAAGUUUUUGAAAUCAAUAAAGGUCCCCAAUGGCUAUUCUUUCAAUAUCUCUCGUUAUGUGCAACUCAAUGAAAGGAAGAUAUAUGAGCUCAAAUUGUAUGAUUGUCAUGUCCUAAUGCAACAACUUCUCUCACUUGUAGUUCGUGGAGUUCUACAUAAGAAUGUUUGUGGAGUUAUCAUAGAAUUGCGUAAUUUUUUCAAGCAAUUGUGCUCAAAGGUGUUAGAAACAAAUCACUUACACCAACUUGAGAACAAUAUUAUUGUCAUACUAUGUAAAAUGGAGCAAAUAUUUCUUCCAUCAUUCUUUGAUAUUAUGGUGCAUUUACUUGUGCAUCUAGUAAGGCAAAGGUUGCAAGACUUGUGCAAUAUUGUUGGAUGUACCUAAUUGAACGAUAUUGUUAUAAUUUCAUAUGAAUCAUUUAAUUUUAUUUUAUAUUAUGUUCAGUUCAUUAACAUGUACAUUGGUCUACAUAUGGAUGAUGAUAGGUACCUAAGCACUUUAAAGUCAUAUGUGCGUAAUAGAACUUUUCUAGAAGGUUCUAUUGUAGAAAGGUACCUUGCAAAAGAAUGUACAACAUUUUAUUCUAGGUACUUGAAUGAUGUGGAAAUAAAGUAUAAUCACAAUGAUAGAAACUUUGUUGGUUUCAACACUAGAGGAGAUGAAAGGGGUUAUCUUUAAACAUAUUGGACAUGCAUUGGGAAAGCCCAUAUUUCAUUAACUUAGUUCAAAAGAGUGGUCACAAGCACAUUUAUAUGUGUUGACAAAUUGCGAAGAUGUCAUACCAUUCAUUGAGUAAAAAAUUUAUUUGAAUUUUAAUUAAAGCUCUAGUUUAUAUCCUUAAUCAAUGUUUUUUAAAUUCACAAGGAGCACAAGCAAACCAUCAAGGCUAGACCACAUAUACGUGUUUGAGACGUAGAUUUAAUUCAUAACAAGGAAUUUAUCAAGUGGUUUGAAAGACAUGUAAGUAUAUUCCUUAUUAUAAGGGAUUUAUUUCACAUUAUGUUUAUAUUGAAUCCAAACCUAUUAUUGAAUUGUAGGUUGAACAAUUACAUAAUGAAGGUCAUAUAUCUGAACACCUUCUCACAUUAUCAUGUGUUCCAAAUUCAUUAGUUACAUGCUUCAAAUGAUAUAUUGUCAAUGGAUUUAGAUCCCACAUUAAAGAACGUGAUAAAAAAGUUUUUAAAAAAAGACUCAGAAUAAUGGAAUUGUUGUAGUUGCAAAAACGUCAAGCUUUACAAGUGCAUGUGAUAUGAGUCCAAUUAUUAGUGAUGCUCUCUACUAUGGUGUUCUAACUAAAGUUGUUGAGUUACAUUAUCUUGGUGAAAAUAAGGUUGUUUUAUUCGAGUUUGAUUGGUGGGAUGUUACAAAUAUUGGAAAAUUGAUAAAAGAUGAUGAGUACAAUUACACAUUUGUUAACUUUGCAUGAAUUCUAACCACGAACGAACGAUUUGUACUUGCAUCUCCAGCAAAGUAAGUGUUCUAUGUGAAGAAUGCGAAUGAAUCAGAUUGGCAUACUAUCAUGGAGAUGCAACCUCAAGACCUCUAUAAGAUGAACGGGAUAGGAUCCAAUGGUGAUUUUGAACCAUUUCAACAAAGUGAACUACAUGAUCACUAAUAUAUCUCAGAUUUAGUUGAUGAAGAUAUAAUCAAGUGGAACAAAAGUGAUGUUUUAGGACUAAUCAUCCUAAAAAAUAUUGUAGUUUCUUAAAAAAAAAAUGAAAAUGAAGAAGAUAAUUGAACCUUUGUCAUACUUUAAAAAGCAACUAUGCAUUGUUCAUUUUGUAUGUUUUGGUUUUCUUCAUUUAAUUUCCUGAUUUUUGUGAUUCAAUGUCAUAUUAUUGAUCUUGAAAUAUUUUUCUAAUUUUUCAUUCUACGAUGGUUUCAACAAGGAUGACAUCAAGUCAAAAAAGGAAAUGUGGUCCCACACACAAUAUUGCAUUACAGGGAUUAAGGUCAGGGAAGAAGGUAAAAGUUGCAUUUAAUGAGUACAAUCAAUUGGUUAAACAGAAAAAUGGAAAACACUUAUCGAGCUACAUAGGGACACUUGUAUCUAACCAACACAAUGUACCUCUCCAAGCUAGUGAUUGGAAAAAUGUUCCAAAUGAUGCAAAAGAGAAAGUAUGGCCUUUGUUUUGGUAUGUUGUAUUUCUCACUAUAUGAUGUCAUUUCACUGUUAUUCUAUUUUGUGACUAACGUUUGAAUCAUAUGUAAGAAAAAUUUGAAGUAGAUAAAGACUGAAAAGAUUACAUGUUGGGUAUAGCCUCAAAUAAAUAUAGAAGCUAUAAAAAUAUGAUGAAUGCAAAAUACUAUGACCCUUGGCAUAAGGAUGCAUGAGGAGAGGUUAAUACAUAAAUCACCAUUUGUCUCUGAUGUUGAUUGGAAGUGGCUUGUCUCUGAUGCAUAAACCAAAUCCCCCACUGAAUGUUUGAUAUUUGAUAGCAGGAAAAACACACCCGCAGCUAUACACCUCCAUCAUUCAGAUAAUUAUAGUGGGGGAGAUGAUUCAUGGUUGCCCUUAUACCCUUUAUUUGCACCAUCUAUUGAGAUUCUUUAUCAUGGCCAGGUUUUACUGCAGCAAUAAGAUAUGGUGGCAACAAUUUUAUCUAUAGGUGCGGUUCCAGACCGCCUCCAUAGGUGCGGUUCCUGACUGCCUCCAUAGGUGCCUCUUCUUGUAAUGUUUGUUCUGGGAAUUACACUUGAAAGCCUUAUCGUGAUAAGGGAUUACAAACACUAGUUCAGAGGACAGCCAUGUUAAACUUCCACUAUGUUUGUGUCACAUUAUCAGCAGCCUAGUGUUUAUUGGUCAUGCUAUCUGCAACUAAUAUAACCCGGUGAACUUCAAUCUAAAUUCUGAAAGUACUCAUGUGACAGAUGGUGCCUUUCAGCAGAUAUCAUCAAUUUAAAAGUAGUGUGUGUGCCUAUAGGUGGGAAGGCCUUGGCAAAUGUUCAGUAUUCCGGUAAUUCAAGAAGGAUAUAUCUAAAAUAGAUUUUCUUCUUGCCCAUUUCAAUAGUUAAAAUUUGAGAAGAUUGUGUCCACAUCACACAAAUAUUAUUGGUCCUUCUGUUGCAAUUUACCUCUGAACAUGUCUUCCAAUUCCCACGGUCCUGUUACUCCAGGAAAACUAUUUCGGUCAUAUUGAAAAAAAAAAUAUUAAAGAAGGUACACAUGCUUUUAAGUGGACUGGGGCAUUCAUAUCAGGUGGUCUGUAUCCACAUAUGCCACUUCGUGAAAGGUGGAACAGCCUAAUCACUAGGCUAUUUAGUGUGGCCCAGCCACGUUAAUCAAGCACAAGUCUUCAUACUUAAAGUCAAAUGGUGUCUUUAGUCUCAUUACACAUCGCUAUUUGAAGAUUAACUCAUCACUAGUGUAAUGCGAUUAAGACAGUCCUAACUCAAUAUUUGUUCUAGUUUUGGAUGCAAAUGCUUGCUGGUUUCAUCAUUGGAUGGGAUAAAGGUGCAAUCAGGACUAUGAAUACGUGCAGUAAUACUUCAUUCUCUUUUUUCUCAAUGAGACUUCUUGGCACAAUUUUGCUGCUCAGCAACCUACCUUUCCAUGGAAAAUCAGUUGUGACUGAUAGUAAUGGAUAUAUUCUAGAAAGCUAAACAUAGAUAGCAUUCAAUAUUAUCGAUAUAACAUUAACAGCGUAUGUCUCAAUGCUCAUCAGCUACAAGCAAUGGACAAACACUUUGAGUAACUCACAGCAGUCAAAAUUCCUAAACAGGACAGACGUGACAGAUCUAUAUAUAGAACACUGCAUAUGAGUCACAGGAAAAGAUAAUACGGGUACAUAGAAGCUCUUAUUUUACAUAUUACUCAUACUGAUCAAAGUCGCUCAGUUGGGAUGGAUGGGAGAAGGAGGUUUGAGGGGUGGCUUGUGCGGGGAAGUUGGCAGCUUCUUUCCGGGAGCUGGUUGCUUCUUUGCUGGAGUUGAAGGAGGCUUAAUCUUCCGAGGUGGCUUGUAUGAGUCUUCAGCAUUCUCAGCAGGAGGGUGACCAGGGUUGUGACCAUAAUGUGGUGGCUUCUCUCCCUUAGGUGGUUUGCCAACUGGGGUUGGUGGCUUGUUUUCUGGGAGUGGCUUCUCUCCCUUGGGUGGUUUGCCAACUGGGGUUGGUGGCUUGUGUUCUGGGAGUGGCUUCUCCCCCUUGGGAGGUUUUUCGAAUGGGGUGGGUUUGUGUCCUGGUGGUGGCUUCUCUCCCUUGGGAGGUUUACCAAUUGGGGUCGGUGGCUUGUGUUCUGGGAGGGGCUUCUCUCCCUGGGGAGGUUUAGUGGGUGGCUUGUGUUCUGGAGGUGGCUUCUCCACCGGAGGCUUAUGCUCUGGUGGUGGCUUCUCGAAGGGGGGAUGCUCAGGGUAAUCACCAAGUGAGGGGGUGGUGAGAACCACCAUGCCAAGCAACAACACUAGCAAGUAUGUAGUAGACAUCUUUGGGUUUGGACUCAGACAGUGCAAAACUACGAGAAAUCGCUAGCCCUUUAUAGCGGCUCGGACCUAAUACUGACAUAAUAUAAAAUAAAUAUUAUAUUUUAUCAAGAGAGAACAGAGUGUAAUUUUAUCAUUAAUACCGAUCGAGGCCAAAGAAAGAAGACCCAUAAUCCAUUUCCCACAAGCAUACACAAUGCAGCUGUAAUUUUAUCAUUUACUUUUAUCCCUUGGACCACUGCAUUUUUGUUGAGAGACACAAUAACACAUUUUUAUCUGUCAUUCAACAUUUACAGUAAAGAGAGGGCACAAAACGCAAUUAGAUAAAUUAUGUUUUGCCUGCUAAAAAGAGGCAAAUAACUUUAUUUGCAACAUAAUUAUUUUGGUUUCUAGUGACCCCGGGGCCUUUCGGUUGGUUUGGGAUCGGAAAAUGAACAUCAUAGGGGGGGUUGUGCCCUUAUGGGCAUAUAUAUCUGAUAGCUUCAACUGGCCUUGUUCCUAGAAAGAAAUUGCCAAAGAUAUAAACUUAUUCCAGGCUGAAAGUAGAUGAGAGUCAUAAUGAACAUCAACCUUUGUUCAGUUUGAUUCAAUGCCCCCAUAGUGUUCAUUUCACAGAUCUGAAUGAUUAUAUCCGUUGAAUACAUAAAUUAAUGAAGACAAAUAUGAAACCCAAGAUACAUCUCUGCAUAACAACCCCAACCCUGGUUGCUAUGUUUCCCUUCUUCUAUUCACAUGAGGAUACUGGUUAUAAUUGUCAAACUUGCAACAAGCCCUUUGACACCUAACGUCAAUGGACGAAUUAAAAGUCUCCUUCAAACGUCUAUUUCACAGCAUGAAGCUUAUAAAGGAUGCUGACAACCUUCAGAGUUAGCGACAAAAGAUAAUUAUCAAGGAGAGAUAGUUCCAUGAGAAUUCCAAGGAGUCUGAAUCAAAGACAAAUUGCUCACUCAAGGGUUCUUAUUUUCUUUUAGGUACAAAUCUCUUGAGUGUUGUUAAAGAAACACGUCACUGUCAUUUUGAUUUGCAUUUAACAUUUCACUUUUGUUCUGGAAGGUUUGUUCCGGAAACAUAUCAAAUGAGCAUCAUUUUCUUCUUCGGUGACACAUGGUCGCGAGUACGUGGGUCCAUUUUCAUGCCACUUAGUUGAAAAGUUGGAAAGAAAAAACAUGCCAACAAGAAGAUAGUGAGAGAAGGGGCACUUCAAGCCUUUAACAUGAACAAACAGUAAAUAAAAGAUGUUUCUCCACUCAUAAAAGUGUGUUAGAUAGCAAUAUAACGAAUCACAUCCAAAAUCUUUACUAGGCUCAAACAUAAAGAAGACUCAUUUUUAAGAAAAGAUAAAAAUGGCAUUGUCUGAUAGUAUCCAAUACACGAGAUGGCACUUAAUUUGUACAAGAUCUGUCAAUGCUGACGCACAUUUUCUGAUUAAAAAAAAACUGAUCAGUCAAAAGCAAUGAAGAGAAGUGAUGACAAUGAAUGAUGCUUCCAAUAUUUUCACCCCUUAUAGUGUUCUUCAUGAUUCAGAUAUAUAAUUGGAAAUAGAACAACCCUAUGCCAUACAUUCGUCUAAGUAUGGUGUCUAAUUUUUUGUGUCAGCGGUUGCGAAUGGAGCGUGCAAAAGUCCAAAUUGGCGUCUCUCCAUUUCCACAUAGGAAGGUGACCUUUAUUGACAAAUACCCAAUAUUUGUAGACAUUCCUUAAAUAUCAUAACUUCUUGUUGAUUUGAAAAUCAUUUUUCAACUACCAUGUUUUAAUAAAUAUUUUUUAAAAUGUAUUUUUAUCAAAGUCCACCAUGAUGGAUAAUAUUCACCAUGCAAUAAUUAAUAAAGUACAAACUAAGCGAAAUGAAAAGCAUUUUCUUUGCUUUGAGUUGAUUUUGGUUGCAUUGAGUUGAUUUUGGUUUCAUGGUUUUUUCAACUCUUAUUUUGAUUGGAAGAUGUCAAGAAAAGAAAACAUAAAGAAAAAUUAAAAGGGAAAAAAGAAGAAAAAUAAAAAAAAAUAGAUUUAAAAGUUAAUAAAUUAUUUUUUAUAUUUAUUUUAAUUCAUUUCACUUAUUUUUCUUUUACUAUAUAAAAUUUAAAUAAUUUAAAUUUUAUAAUUAAUUUAAUUACAUUUCAUUUUCUUCUAUAUUUAAAUAUUGGAAAAAUAUUUUACUUAAUAUUUUUUUCUUUAAUUUCUUUGGCAUUUUGGGAACCAAACUUAGCCUUUAAAAUAAAAAACAAAAAAAAAAUGAAAAUAAGGAGGGAAAAGUGAGAAAAGAUAAAAACAAUAUGUAAAGGAUUUGAAAAGUAUUAGUUUGUAAUUACUAUUUGGAUUUCAAUAGUAUUUUAUUUGUCUUUCUAUAUUUCAUGUAAGAGAGAAUUUAAGAUAUUCCCCAAGGCAAAGCAUUAGUUACCUGCAAUCAGUGGUGAUAAGGCUCCAAGCCAAUUUUGGGCCCCAUAUCUUAAGACAGUACAAUUUCCAUUUCAACAUUUCUGAUUUCUCAGAUGUUUCACAUACCACAGAAGAACAUUGUUUGUGAAAAUAUGCAUUUAUGUUGGAUUUUGUAUGCUGUGGGGACUGGGGCAAGGAUCAUAUGGAAGAGUGGUUGACUUUUUCUGUACUUUAACGGUUGAAAUAGGAUAAGCACGGGCAUUUGUGAGGCUUAAUUGAUUUUGAAGCCUGAAAUUGCGUUUCUGUCAUUUUGUCAAAAAAAUGGCAGAUUCCAUACUCAUAUGUUUGGCCUGUGGCCAUGUACAGAUGCCAUUUAGUGACCAGUUUGUAACUGUCAAUCGUUGCGUUUUGACUCUGCCUCAACAACAUCUGCCAUUGACGGGUUUUCAUACUUGCAAAUCAAAUAGUCUUUCGUCCCAUCAGGAAUUUCGGUUUAAAUAUUAUUAAGCAUACGUUUGGCUGACAAUCAUUAUCCAGUUCAUGAUUUGGUUUCUUACCCUUAAUCAAUGGUUUCUAAGUGAAUAUAUGUAGAAGGAAAUCCGAAGUGUAGACAGUAGUAUCGAUAACUCUCAAUAUUCUCUAUAUAAUAGAAUAAACAGCGUCAUAGUGAUCGUCGCCUACAAGCAAGGUACAAAUACCAAAACGAGUGACUCACAUAGACAUCUCCCAACAAGAUGUAGUAGUGACUGACACAUGGACACAAUUAACUCGUAGAAAAGGAUAAGACCAUUGCACAGCAGCUCUUAUUUUACAUACUACUUAUGCUAACCAAAGUCAAUUAGUUGGGAUGGGUGGGAGAUGGAGGUUUGUGCGGUGGCUUGUGGGGCGGAGUUGAUGGCUUCUUUCCAGGAGCUUCUGGCUUUUUCAUCGGAGCUGAAGGAGGCUCAAUCUUAUGAGGCGGCUUGUAUGAGUCUUCUUUACUCUCGACAGGAGGGUGGCCAGGGUUGUGAUCAUAAUGUGGUGGCUUCUCUCCCUUAGGUGGCUUGCCAACUGGGGUUGGUGGCUUGUGUUCAGGAAGUGGUUUCUCUCCCAUGGGAGGUUUAGCAAUUGGGGUUGGUGGCUUGUGUUCUGGGAGUGGCUUCUCUCCCUUGGGAGGUUUAGUAGGUGACUUGUGUUCUGGAGGUGGCUUCUCCACCGGAGGCUUGUGCUCCGGUGGUGGCUUCUUGGUUGGAGGGGGCUUGGGGUAAUCAGCAAGAGAUGGGGUGGUGAGAACCACCAGUCCAAGGAACAACACUAGCAAGUAUGUGGGAGACAUUUUUGAGUUUGGGCUGAUCAGAUGAUGCAAAACUAAAGCAUUACGUGACCUUUUAUAGCAUGUAGCUCCCAAUACCCACUAAGUAUUGUGGGGUCCAUUUGUGCCCUACGGGGUUGAAAACUUAGACAAUUGGGCAAGGACCCACCUGACUAUGGAGGACUAGUGAGGUGUGAUCAUAGCUUUAGGAUUUUUCUUCCUCUGCAGCCGUCGUGCCGUUGGCAUGAUUUUCUUAAUCUUAAAUAAAGGCAUAGUUAUAGAGUUGUUUAAUCUCUAAAUGGGAUUUUAUAUAUAUCUUCAGAUAGCCAUUAAUAUAUUUGAUGAAGAAAGAAAGACAAGUGCAUACAACAUGUAUACGACUAGCUUUCAUGGAGUUCAUUUAUGAUCAGUUUUCCUGUACAUGUAAACCAGGAUCAUAUAUAUGUUUCUGUUCCACAACUAUUUUGGAAUCUUGUUUAUCAGUUUUUAUCAUUAUAAUGUCACAUAGGCUGCCAACUUGGGCGCUAAAAGAACCAGUUGGGCUAGUUCGUUUCAGAAUUUCAAUGUGGAUUCAGGAAUUGUUUUGUAAGAUAUGCGAAAUAGUAGAGGGAUGAAUAGUGUUUCAUUAAUAAAAGUGUCCUGUAAAUUAGAAGGUGUCAUAGAAACUAUAAUCAAUAAAUAACUUUUUUUCCCCACGGGUGGUGUUUCUUGUGGGGAUCAGUGACUGGUUUAGGUUCACCCAAAAUGAGUUCAGACUAAAAUUGGUUUGAGUCAAUGCCGUGUCUCUUUUUUCCAGAAAUCAACUAUUUUAUGCAUUGAAUAAAUCAUACAAAGAAAAUAUGAACGCCCGCAAAACCUAAACCCUGGUUGCUAACUUUCUAUGUUUCAGUUCUAUUCACGCAAGAAUAUUAGUUUAAGUUUGGGAAAAAUGGCAACUUACCUAGUGAUUACUUGGUUUUGGUUUGCGACUAUUUACGCAACCAACCAUGAGUUUGACUUUAACGUCAUGGGUUGAAGCCUCCUACAGGAAGGGAGAAAGCUCCACAGCUAGCUCCAAAAGAGAAUUAUCACAUUGAUAGCUCCAGAGAUUCCCAAGGGGACUGAAUCAAAGACAAGUUCCUCACUUUUUCUUCUUUUGAGGCCAAAUAUGAACCAAGGAUCACACAACCUCAUUCAACUUCAUAAGUUUGAUUUCAUGCAGUUGAACACUGGGUGAAGGCCAUGACAAGAAUUGAUUCAAAAAUUCUAUCACUCUUUUAAGUAAUGGAAGAUUAUUAUCUCUGAUUGGCAUCACAACAGCACAUGCUCCUAGAUCUUUCUAGACACUCCAUGCAAUGAAAGCACAAUGGAUCUUGUAACGAUAGAAACUAAGCCAUGCUACAGUACUAGAUGAUGAGGUAAAACUAGUAGACACGGGUGGCAGCCUAUAUGGGAGGGACACAAGUCUAAUUGAUUUGCAUUUCAGCAUUAUAGAUAGGUAUGUUUUGGAAGAUUUGUUCUGGAAAUACCGCACCAAGUAGGAUUCUUUUUCUCUUUAGUGGGUCCACUUGCAUGCCAAUUAACGAGUUGAAAAGUAUGAGCACCUACCUCGUGCUCGUGGAACCGAAGGUCAGUGAAGUGGGGCUCCUUUUGGCCUCGUGUAAACUUGAUUCAGAAGUGAAGUUAAUAGUCUUCCAUUCAGAUGGAUACAUGGGAAUUUUUCUCUUUUAUUUAUUUAUUUAUUUUUUUUUUGUGUGUGUAUGUCAAAGGAUAAUGAAUGAAGCGCGUUAGCUUGUUUUCUGACUGGAACCGCAGAUGUCCAAAUUGGAGUUCCUUCAUUUCUUACUUAGGAUUGUUACAUGUAUAAACAAGGUAUAAGAAAUAUGCCAACGUGUCUUGAGGAGUUAUUGAUUAGAAAUAACAAGUCACCCGACUGUAGAGUUCCAAGAUUUGAAUCUUCAGACCCUAUAGCAGCCUCUGGGGUACGUGGCAUCCUAUAGCAUAUUAAUGAAGGCUUUUUCGAUUUAGACUUCACAAUACCAAUUAAUAUGUAUGCACAAAAUGGAGAUGACCCCAAAAAAAACAGAAUCGCCAUAGUUUAUGAGGUUAAGGUGAUUCUCCACUUAAUAUCUACAUUAGCUAAUUAUGUAAAUCAAAUGAACUUCUAUUUUUCCUUUUUUUUUUUGGUUUAUGUCAAAUAGUAGCCCAUAAUUAACCCAACCAUUAGCCUGUUUGAAUUGAUUUCACAUGCACAAUGUUGUAGUAGUUCAUAUUUUGAAUUUUAUUUUUACAAAGGUAGUUAAGGAAAAUGAAGUAUAAUAAUUAUAAAAGCAGACUAUAUACACUACAAUAAUUGUUAGAAUGGUAUCUCAAAUUCUAAUUUAAAAUAUUAUUUUUUGUAAAAGAAAUAUUAUAUAGAAUAUUUCCUAAUUUUAUAAAUGAUUAUAAUUAGAUCUUUAUAAAAUAAGGAAAGUUGGUAAGAAUAUCUUUAUAAAUAUUUUAGGUCAUGAGAGAAAGAAAUGGGAUAAAAAUGUGAUGAAGAGGUGAAAUAAGAGAGUUGAUUAGGAUAUAGAUGUGAAGAAGAAAGGGAUUCAAUAUAUAUAUAUCUUUCAAUUACCACAUUAAAACCCUGUGAACCUUUUAUAUGGUUUACUUUAUUUUUAUAUUCCUCCUUUAAUAUAUUUACAUUAAUGCUUCCAUUGGCACAACAAUAACGAAUUACAAAUACAAGCAACAAGUCCCAUGUUUUAUUACCAAAAGCAGGUAAAAUCCACCUAAUAUAUUACAAUAUAUUCAUCCAAUAUUUUAGACCAAUUCUUCACCAUAAAUAUCAUAAUGUGGCUUUUGUUCUUUCUUAAAUUUAAAUUGAAUUGUCUUAUAUCAAUUUGUUUGUGAUUUUUUCAUUAACUUCACUUUCAUUUGGUUAUCUUUGGUUUUUGAAAAGUAUUAAGGAAUUAAUUAACAAAAUAAUGUUAAGAAAAAUAAUUUUCUCUCUUUUGAUUUUGAUUUUGUAGUAGAAAAAUAUAAUUAAAAUUAUUUAAAAAGUAUGUAAUUUUAAAUUAUUUAAUAUUUAGAUAAAAAAAAUAAGUCUAAUGAGUUUAAAAUAACAUAUAAAAAUAAUUUAUUUAUUUUAAAUUUAUUUUUUAUUUUCCAUUAUGUUCUCUUUCUCUUUUACUUUUUCAUAUUUUUUCUUACGAAGAAUCAAACACAACCUCAUAUUAUAUGUCAAGUGUUUGUCUAUAUUUGAGCAAUGUUAGAUACGGCCAUGGAUUCAUCAAACUAAACUGAUUUUAAUAGAUACUUCACAAAUUGAUUUAUACACUAAAUCAUUGGAUAGCAAUGAUGCAUUGGAAUUAAACGUAGGAUGAAGCUCGAAGAACACUGUUUGUGUAACAACAUAUUUAUGAAAUUAUGCAAAGGAUGAGCUUCGGGGUAGUAGUACAAGGUCAUUAAUGGAGAGCCGUGUUAAACCUUGAUUGUGAUUGGAUUCCGUUAUCAGCAACAGCAACCUUGUUUGUAACCUUGAAAGUCAUUCUGUCCACAUCGAAACUCCAAUUUGACGUUUGUAAUUACCAUUCCUGGAGUGUUCCUUGAUUGAAAUUUAAAUAAUAAUUGCGGCCCACAAGGAAUAUUUUCGAUUCUGUGGGAAUUUGACAAGGUUUGUUAGAGAAGACUGGUGACAUGUUGACUUCAAUGGUUCAAAUAGGAGACGUAUGUGGAUUUGGGGGGUUUAAUUGAAACUGAGUCCCUAUGGCUUUUUAAUAUUUGCAUUGAGCAGUCUCCAUGUGACUUCCUAAUUCCCACCAACCCUCCUGUCCAUGCUGUGAAACUAAAUUGUAAUUUAUCAGCCUUUGUCAAUGGUUUCUAAAUUAAAGAUAUAGACCAUGCAUGUACUUUAAUAAAAGCAAAUCUAAAGUGUAGAUAGCAGCAAUGGUGACACCCAAUAUUCUCCAUAAAAUAGAAUUAGAAUAAGCAGUGUUACAUUGUUCAUGAUCACCUACAAGCAUACAAGAACUUCCAUGAAUAACUCAUAGCAAUUGCCAACAGGGCGUCGUAGAGACUCAUACAUAGAACACUAUCCACCCAGAGGAAAGGACAAGACCAGUGCGCUGCAGCUCUUAUUUUUCACAUGUAUACCACCACUCGUAAUAACCAAAUUCACUCAGUUGGGAUAGGUGGGAGAUGGUGGUUUGUGGGGUGGCUUGUGGGGAGGAGUUGGAGGAGGCUUUAUUUUCUGAGGCGGCUUGUAUGAGUGUGCAGGAGGAUGCCCGGGAGUGUGACCAUAAUGUGGUGGCUUCUCUCCCGUAGGUGGUUUGCCAAAUGGGCUUGGUGGCUUCUCUCCCUUAGGAGGUUUACCAAUUGGGGUUGGUGGCUUGUGUUCUGGGAGUGGUUUCUCUCCCUUGGUAGGUUUGCCAAUUGGGGUUGGCGGCUUAUGUUCUGGGAGUGGCUUCUCUCCCUUGGGAGGUUUGCUAAUUGGGGUUGGCGGCUUAUGUUCUGGGGGCGGCUUCUCUCCCUUGGGAGGUUUGCCAAUUGGAGUUGGCGGCUUAUGUUCUGGGAGUGGCUUUUCUCCCUUGGGAGGCUUGCCAAUUGGGGUUGGCGGCUUAUGUUCUGGGGGUGGCUUCUCUCCUUUAGGAGGUUUGCCAAUUGGAGUCGGCGGCUUAUGUUCUGGAAGUGGCUUUUUUCCCUUGGGAGGUUUGCCAAUUGGGGUUGGCGGCUUAUGUUCUGGGGGUGGCUUCUCUCCCUUGGGAGGUUUGCCAAUUGGAGUCGGCGGCUUAUGUUCUGGGAGUGGCUUCUCUCCCUUGGGAGGUUUUGUUGGUGGCUUGUGUUCUGGAGAUGGCUUCUCCCCUGGAGGCUUGUGCUCCGGAGGUGGCUUCUGAAAUGGCGGGGGCUUGGGGUAAUGAGCAAGAGAUGGAGUACUG
rnacentral:lncRNA from 1 species